ACUUAAAGUUAAAUUGGGUGCAUUUAGCUCACAUGGUCCUCUUGGCCAGCAAUUGUCUUUGUCUGAUGAUAUGAUUGAGUGGGCCACAGGAAUUACAGAGACUCCACGCUCUGUAUGCACUGAGAGUUGUCAUCCUGGAUUCAGGAAAUCCCCUCAGGAGGGAAAACCUGCCUGUUGUUUUGAUUGCACCCCUUGCCCAGAGAAUGAGAUCACCAACGACACUGGUCAGAGUGUGUCUUCGGGACAAAUUCUCCAUGUUCAUUUUGUAUUCACUCCAUCCAUCCAGGAAAUGGAAAAAAAUUGUUCAGAGAACAACUAUGAUCAAAUUCUUUCUUCUGUGAAUGACAAAAUUCUUCCUUCUAUCAGGUGAAAAUUUAUUCUUUCAACUUAGAACUAUUAUCCCUUUAAAGACACAUUCUCUGUCCCUUGUACUAUACAUACUCAUAGAUUCACUUUUAUUUCUUAUGUUUUCUUUUCCUUUUGACAUUGAUGAAGAUUGAACCAAGAGGGCCCCUUGCCCUGAGCUUUAUCACUACC